rnacentral:rRNA from 1 species
UGGCUCAGAUUGAACGCUGGCGGCAUGCCUUACACAUGCAAGUCGAACGGCAGCACGGGAGCUUGCUCCUGGUGGCGAGUGGCGAACGGGUGAGUAAUGCAUCGGAACGUGCCCUGAAGUGGGGGAUAACGCAGCGAAAGUUGCGCUAAUACCGCAUAUUCUGUGAGCAGGAAAGCAGGGGAUCGCAAGACCUUGCGCUUUAGGAGCGGCCGAUGUCGGAUUAGCUAGUUGGUGGGGUAAAGGCUCACCAAGGCGACGAUCCGUAGCGGGUCUGAGAGGAUGAUCCGCCACACUGGGACUGAGACACGGCCCAGACUCCUACGGGAGGCAGCAGUGGGGAAUUUUGGACAAUGGGCGAAAGCCUGAUCCAGCCAUGCCGCGUGAGUGAAGAAGGCCUUCGGGUUGUAAAGCUCUUUCGGCGGGGAAGAAAUCGCAUUCUCUAAUACAGGGUGUGGAUGACGGUACCCGAAUAAGAAGCACCGGCUAACUACGUGCCAGCA